rnacentral:rRNA from 1 species
UACGUAGGAAGCAAGCGUUGUCCGGAAUCACUGGGCGUAAAGCGCGUGUAGGCGGUAUGGCAAGUCUGCUGUGAAAGCUCUCGGCUUAACCGGGAGAGGUCGGUGGAAACUGCCACACUGGAGGACGGUAGAGGGGAGUGGAAUUCCCGGUGUAGUGGUGAAAUGCGUAGAGAUCGGGAGGAACACCUGUGGCGAAGGCGGCCCCCUGGGCCGGUCCCGACGCUGAGACGCGAAAGCGCGGGGAGCGAACGGG